rnacentral:tRNA from 1 species
GCGAGAGUGGUGGAACUGGUAGACACGCGAGCCUUAGGAGCUCGUGGGCCGCAAGGUCCGUGGGGGUUCGAGUCCCUCCUCUCGCACCA